AGCAGAGGAGGAAGAGGAGGACGUCAGCGUGAUGAAGAGCAGUGAAAAGACUCGCGGGGGAAACAAAACGGCAACUUGGAUCCCCAUACCGUCAGAAGUCCCCUAAAGGUGGAGAUGUUUCAGGCAAGCUUCUCUUUGACGUAGGGCCUCCAUGACAGGCGGCCCCGGGGCCCACAAAUGUUGUGAUGGAUGGAUGUGUCCUUGCUGCCAGAGAAACACUCGCCCUGAUGAGCGGGGAAGAAGAGAGAAGAAAGAAGAGAGAAGAAAGAAGAGAGAAGAGAGAAGAGUCGGCGUGUC